GAUGAACGCUGGCGGCGUGCCUAAUACAUGCCAGUCGAGCGAACAGACGAGGAGCUUGCUCCUCUGACGUUAGCGGCGGACGGGUGAGUAACACGUGGAUAACCUACCUAUAAGACUGGGAUAACUUCGGGAAACCGGAGCUAAUACCGGAUAAUAUAUUUAACCGUAUGGUUCAAUAGUGAAAGACGGUUUUGCUUUCCCUUAUAGAUGGAUCCGCGCCGCAUUAGCUAGUUGGUAAGGUAACGGCUUACCAAGGCAACGAUGCGUAGCCGACCUGAGAGGGUGAUCGGCCACACUGGAACUGAGAAACGGUCCAGACUCCUACGGGAGGCAGCAGUAGGGAAUCUUCCGCAAUGGGCGAAAGCCUGACGGAGCAACGCCGCGUGAGUGAUGAAGGUCUUCGGAUCGUAAAACUCUGUUAUUAGGGAAGAACAAAUGUGUAAGUAACUAUGCACGUCUUGACGGUACCUAAUCAGAAAGCCACGGCUAACUACGUG
rnacentral:rRNA from 1 species